ensembl:lncRNA
CCGGCGCUCGCCGGGUAAGACGCACCGGAGCCGGGAGCGAGAGCUCGAGGCCCUGAGCGCCGAGCCUCGGCUGCCGGCCCAGGCAGGUGAGUGGCCUCGGCGCCUCCCGGCUCGCGCGCCCGAAACGGGCGCGGCCUGGCCCGGACCCGCGGUCUCUCCGUACGUCUGUUUCUGCUCCCUGCCUGUAGCUUACGACUCAUCAACGCGUAAAACGCGAUCGCAGCGAAACCUCCAGCCUGUCUUGCCGCCUCAGAGCCCAGCAGGGGCUUCUCAAAGACAACGCGGCACCGGGGACAAUCCCCGGUGUCCGGCAAGGCCGCCCCAUGGAGUUCAAAGUCGGGGAUGGAGCGCGGGAGGCCCCGGACUCGCAGGCCGGCCGCCAGGCGGUGAACGCCGGAGCCGAGCGGAAGCUUACCGCCGACCGCGAUCCCAGCGUCGGUUCGCGGGGAGACGGUCGUUCCGAGCUUUCAGGAGAGCAGGGAUUGUUGCGAAUGCGGGUCGCUGCCCUUUGGUCUCACUGAAGCUGUUCCUUUCCUUACAUGGGAACAAGAUUUUACAAAGGACUGGGGAAGGGCAGCAGCGAAAACUGAGUUUUCUAACGACCUUUUCCAAAUGACUGGAGACUUUCCGGUGGAGUGUGGCUCAGCGGUGUCUGGGUGCUUUCGCAGGGAGCUGGGAGUGCAGACAUCCAGAGCCUCAGCCCCGCGCCCAGCUGCCCAGGGCUCCCCCAUCCUGGGCAAGCCUCCUCCCCGCCCUUUGUUUCAACUUCGCUCCCCUCAGGGACUGGCCCAACAUUCGACGUGUGUCUGCACCCUGGGCCCAGGCUCCCGGGAGAUCUUGGGAGGUUCUACCCGCCACCUCCAAGCCCGACAGCGUGGAGCCCUGCUGAGACCUGCAGACAGUCGAGCGUGGUGCCCCCUCCUCUGCGAACGGCCACGGUUUGCUCUGAGGCCUGGCGGCCCUGCAGCCCGGCGAUAGGACAACGGGUAAAUCCGUUUCGUUAGAUGCAAUUUGUCUGCAAUUUGUCAACCCGGCUGGGAAACGCGCCCCAGACGCCCGGGCCGCCGCUGGCCCUUCCUGCUUCUUGGAUCCUGCCUACUCAUGAACGAAUCCCAGCGUGAAGAGCCUGCAUAGACCAGAGCUCACGGCCAGAUGUCCCCGACCCCCGGAGACCUGGCUUUUUCCAAAACAACGAAUUUCCUUCCGUGUUUUCCGGGAAAGGAGCGGCUGCAGCAUCCGGGGGCCCUGAAUGCCAGACCUUUCCCCUCGCGGUUGGGGCAACCUGGAGUUCAAGCCUGACCUCUGCGGAACGAUUCUAAAUGCC